GCUCUGUGGACCACAGGCUAACCUCUCACUGUGCAAAAGGAGAAAGCCAGGUCCAAGAAGAAAAUCGAGUUCCUCAAGAGCCAUGGAGCCAAUGAUGGAAAAAUUCUGACUCAGAGAGGAAGAGUAACACAGGUGAUCAGUAGAAGAGCUGAAAUCCAACUCAAGUGUCCUAGUUCCCCGUUAGGGACUCUUCCUCUGACUUCCAGUCUACGCCAGCCUAAUAGUGAGAUUGAAGCUAAUCACUUGGGUUCUACGUAAUCUUCCUCUCCUUGGAAGGUGCCCCAGAGCUAGGGACCUAGAGGCGGCCUGCAGGGAUCCACCUUCCCGGGCUACUCACCUGCCUGAAGCAUGCAACUCCAGGAUCCAUGCUGCCAUGGCCUUGUGCAAGAACAGCCACCUGUGCACAAAGGUAGGAGCAUUGCAUCAGCCAGGCAGGAGCAGACAAGAUUAUUUCCAAGCUGAUUAUAGAAGCACAGAAGAG